UCCGGUUUAUCACCGGCAGUCCCCUUAGAGUUCCCGGCCGAACCGCUGGUAACUAAGGGCGAGGGUUGCGCUCGUUGCGGGACUUAACCCAACAUCUCACGACACGAGCUGACGACAGCCAUGCAGCACCUGUCUCUUGGUUCCCGAAGGCACUUCCGCAUCUCUGCAGAAUUCCAAGGAUGUCAAGGGUAGGUAAGGUUUUUCGCGUUGCAUCGAAUUAAACCACAUGCUCCACCGCUUGUGCGGGCCCCCGUCAAUUUCUUUGAGUUUUAACCUUGCGGCCGUACUCCCCAGGCGGAGAACUUAACGCGUUAGCUUCGGCACAAGAGAGUUAAACUCCCCAACGCCUAGUUCUCAUCGUUUACAGCGUGGACUAC
rnacentral:misc_RNA from 1 species